AGCAGCCGCGGUAAUUCCAGCUCCAACAGCGUAUAUUAAAGUUGUUGCAGUUAAAAAGCUCGUAGUUGAAUUUCGGGAUCAAUUAAUUGGUCGUGCCUCUGGUACGUACUGAUUUUAUUGGUUUCUCCCUUCUGACGAACCAUGAUGUCAUUAAUUUGAUGUCGUGGAGAAUCAGGACUGUUACUUUGAAAAAAUUAGAGUGUUUAAAGCAAGCUAACGCUUGAAUACAUUAGCAUGGAAUAAUGAAAUAGGACGUUUGAUCCUAUUUUGUUGGUUUCUAGGAUCGACGUAAUGAUUAAUAGGGAUAGUUGGGGGCAUUAGUAUUCAAUUGUCAGAGGUGAAAUUCUUGGAUUUAUUGAAGACUAACUACUGCGAAAGCAUUUGCCAAGGAUGUUUUCAUUAAUCAAGAACGAAAGUUAGGGGAUCGAAGACGAUCAGAUACCGUCGUAG
rnacentral:rRNA from 1 species